rnacentral:rRNA from 1 species
AACGAACGCUGGCGGCAUGCCUAACACAUGCAAGUCGAACGAGACCUUCGGGUCUAGUGGCGCACGGGUGCGUAACGCGUGGGAACCUGCCCUUAGGUUCGGAAUAACUCCCCGAAAGGGGUGCUAAUACCGGAUAAUGUCUUCGGACCAAAGAUUUAUCGCCUUUGGAUGGGCCCUCGUUGGAUUAGCUAGUUGGUAGGGUACAAGCCUACCAAGGCGACGAUCCAUAGCUGGUCUGAGAGGAUGAUCAGCCACACUGGGGCUGCGACACGGCCCAGACUCCUACGGGAGGCAGCAGUGGGGAAUAUUGGACAAUGGGCGAAAGCCUGAUCCAGCAAUGCCGCGUGAGUGAUGAAGGCCUUAGGGUUGUAAAGCUCUUUUACCCGGGAUGAUAAUGACAGUACCGGGAGAAUAAGCUCCGGCUAACUCCGUG